UCCGACCUCAGAUCGGACGAGAUUACCCGCUGAAUUUAAGCAUAUUACUAAGCGGAGGAAAAGAAACUAACAAGGAUUUCCCCAGUAACGGCGAGUGAAGCGGAAAAAGCCCAGCACCGAAUCCCUCAGUGUCACGCUGACGGGAACUGUGGUGUGUGGGACGCCACCAGUCGCAUCGGAGAGUGCCGAAGUCCUCCUGAUCGGGGCUUCACCCAGAGCGGGUGUAAGGCCUUUGCAGGUGCUUCUCCGUGCGGCCGCGAGCGUCUCAGGAGUCGGGUUGUUUGGGAAUGCAGCCCAAAGCGG
rnacentral:rRNA from 1 species